GCCCAGCUACUGGGGGCAGCAUCAGGAGCCAGGUUGGGGUAGGGAAGGACAAGCUAAAGGGUAGCAGCCUUGGGAGGGUUAAGGAGGGCCCUAAUCAGCUGCUGCCAUUGCAAUCAGCUACAUCAGCCUCAGCUGCUUCAGGUGGCAGUAGGGAGGCUGUCGGCUGCACCUGGCAGACUAUUGCUCUGCUGCUGGGAAGGGAAGUUGAAGUGAGAGCUGUCUCUGCUCCCUGCUUCAGGGCCUGGGUUGGGGUCUCAGAUGUGAAGCCCUGGAGUGAAAUGUUCCACAGGAGCCACCCCUGGGCCUGAGGCUGGGGCCUCACUUUGCAGGUGGGAGACGCCCGAUUUGAGGAGGAGUGCUUUGAGCACUGAACGUGCCGUGGUGCUGGGGAUCUGACAUGCAAGCACAGCCACAGCCCGCCUUCAAGAACUGUUGGUUCCAGGACAGCAAGAAGGACUGCCAGCCCCUUGAGCCUGCUUUCAGAUGAAAGAAGCCAGAAAGCUCUUGACCAAAGGCUGGAGGUACAAUGCGUGUUAUUCAUGCUCCGUGUGUCAACUUGGAGCAGAAAGUGAAAGCUACCCUUCACCACCGAAAGCUAGCAGCAGAGGCACAAUACCUAUGGGUCCCUACUCCGUUCUAAUCAGCCGUAACAUCAAGGUUACACGCAGUCAAUUCAAACCUCUGUCCAUCACCACCAAUUCCAAGCAGUCCCGUCUACCCGAGCACCAAGGCUGCACCAACCUACACAGCCCGUGCUGUCACAUCAGCUAGUCCCACCAAACAUACACCACCCUACCUC